rnacentral:rRNA from 1 species
UAGGGAAUCUUCGGCAAUGGACGAAAGUCUGACCGAGCAACGCCGCGUGAGUGAAGAAGGUUUUCGGUUCGUAAAACUCUGUUGUUAGAGAAGAACAAGGACGUUAGUAACUGAAUGUCACCUGGCGGUAUCUAACUAGAAAGCCACGGCUAACUACGUGCCAGCAGCCGCGGGAAUACGUUGGUGGCAAGCGUUGUCCGGAUUUAUUGGGCGUAAAGCGAGCGCAGGCGGUUUAUUAAGUAUGAUGUGAAAGCCCCCGGCUCAACCGGGGAGGGUCAUUGGAAACUGGGAGACUUGAGUGCAGGAGAGGAAAGUGGAAUUCCAUGUGUAGCGGUGAAAUGCGUAGAUAUAUGGAGGAAAACCAGUGGCGAAGGCGGCUCUCUGGUCUGUAACUGACGCUGAGGAUCGAAAGCGUGGGGAGCAAACAGG